CAAGAAAUUCUCAUAGAGUUAACAUUGACCGCAGUGGCGGCAACUUUUAGCAUUAUGACAUGACCUCCAGCUGAACGCAAUCAACAGUAGCAGAGCUACCUGGAGCUGUGAAUCUGCUGAACGUCUUCGGCUGCUGUGCCGUGGUCACUUUAUUUGCUCUUGAAACUCUCAUUCAGAGGCACAUUUCUCUAAUUACAGACAUGGUUCCAGACCAGACCAGUGGUGAUGACCAUGUAUGACAUUACGUGUGUGCCUGUCUGUGUGCACACCUGUCAACCAUACAUCUCUGACAAUGUUGCUAGAAACAUACCUACUAACAUACAUUCUUACAAACAUGUGACCAUAUCUCAACAUAUCUGUGCAUAUACCAUUUAACCAUACUGAGACUUAUCCGAGAUCUACACUGAGACAUUCUGAGAACUAUAUUGUUGUGUGAGGACUAUACUAACUAUAUGGAGCUUGUAUACUUGUGAAUCAUAUCUGUCAACCAUUCAUACCUUUGAGUCAUACCGGUGCUGUAACAUCUGUGAAACUUAGCUGUGCUGUUAGACCUCUGUUUUUAUGUGCUGUGUGAAAAUUAAGAUUCUAAAGUUCUGGCUAAAACUGAUCAUCUGAAGGGCUGACUCUUUUAUUCUUCAGUAUAUAUCACCAUCAAAUUUGACCUAUUAUCAUUAACUGAGGCCUCCAGCUGUUGCUGCCAGUUCAGAAUUCAAACUGAUAAAUAGAUCUGUCUUAGGAUAAUAUGAUUGGCAUCAUCAAGUUCUGUAAGAAUGCAAUUAUAGUAGACAUCUUGUUUCUCCCUUAUCAUUAUUGGUUAACUUUAAAAUUGGUUUCAACAACUUUGAUUUUUUGACUUCAAGCUUGCAUUGGUUGUUAAGUGUUCAUUAGUGUGUUCUGAGUAUCAUUCUGCUGUUUCUGCAGUACUGUAUUAAAACAAAUGUUGAUCAAUA